AUCUCUUUGUCCCAGGAAGCUGGGAAUCUCUCACCAUGGCCAAAGCCUUGAUGCUCUUCCUGUUUCUCACUUUUUUGUGGGGUUGCAAUGCCCAAUUUACAUUGACUCAGCCGCACUUCGUGUCGGCCUCUGUGGCAGAGACUGUUAAGAUCACUUGUACAAGAAGCAGUGGGAGCAUAAGCAGCUACUAUAAUUCCUGGUACCAACAGAAGCCCGGCAGUGCUCCCAUACUGCUCAUAUAUGAGCAUAGCACCAGAGCCUCAGGAAUCUCCGACCGAUUCUCAGGUUCUCUCGACAGCUCUGCCAAUGCUGCCAUCUUAACCAUCUCCAGUGUCCAAGAAGACGAUCAGGCCGAUUAUUACUGUUUCUCUUAUGACAGCAGCUAUAAGCCCACAAUGAUAAAACCACACGGGGAAGUGAGACGAAAACCUCUGUGCAGCAGAUGUGCUUUGCAUUGGUUGUGCUUGGCUUGA